GGUUAAAUUAGAAAGGGCGCACGGUGGAUGCCUUGGCACUAAGAGCCGAUGAAGGACGUGACUAACGACGAUAUUCUAGGGGGAGCAGUAAGAAAGCUUUGAUCCGGGUAUUUCGGAAUGGGGAAAAGCACCACUCGUAAUG
rnacentral:rRNA from 1 species